GAUGCAGUGAUCUGAAACCACAAGUAUCAGUUCUAUCAGACGACUGGGCCACUUUUAACCCAAGGCAUCUGAGUUCCUCCUCAUCAAGAAUGAAGCCUCAGACCUUUGCAGCGAGUGUUACAGCUCUUAAAGGUGGUGGGGACCCAAAGAGUGAGCAGCAGCAAGAUUUAUUGUGAAGAGAAAAGGAACAAAGCUUCCACAGCAUGGAAGGUGACCUGA